GCCUAACCUGCUGAGUGUUUCCAGCGAUUUGUUUUUAUUGAAGUAGUAAGGCAAUGGUUAAAUUGUUACAUCUGAAUUGCAAAUGAAUUGAUCUUACUUCAUAAUACUGCAAAAAUGACAGGUUAUUAUAAGGAGGCAAGGCUCCACCCAGGCAUACAGUAGCUGAGACCCUCGUCACCCCUUGAGCCUGACAUCUUGGCUGGAGAAUCAGCUUGUUUGACCCUCUGCAUCUGACCCAAGCAAAAGCAGGAAAGCCAGUCAUUGGCCUAUUGCUUGAAGUUGUACACCACCCACCGAAUCAGAUUCACAGUUGGGUAUAGUCAGCUUCAAUGACCUGGUCACCACAAGAGUAUGCCUACUUUAAAGAGACAAGACUGGAG